AUUGAACGCUGGCGGCAUGCCUUACACAUGCAAGUCGAACGGUAACAGGUCUUCGGAUGCUGACGAGUGGCGCACGGGGGAGUAAUACAUCGGAACGUGCCCGAUCGUGGGGGAUAACGAGGCGAAAGCUUUGCUAAUACCGCAUACGAUCUACGGAUGAAAGCGGGGGAGCUUCGGACCUCGCGCGGACGGAGCGGCCGAUGGCAGAUUAGGUAGUUGGUGGGAUAAAAGCUUACCAAGCCGACGAUCUGUAGCUGGUCUGAGAGGAUGAUCAGCCACACUGGGACUGAGACACGGCCCAGACUCCUACGGGAGGCAGCAGUGGGGAAUUUUGGACAAUAGGCGAAAGCCUGAUCCAGCCAUGCCGCGUGCAGGAUGAAGGCCUUCGGGUUGUAAACUGCUUUUGUACGGAACGAAAAGCCUCUUUCUAAUAAAGAGGGGUCAUGACGGUACCGUAAGAAUAAGCACCGGCUAACUACGUG
rnacentral:rRNA from 1 species